UACGGAGGGUGCAAGCGUUAUCCGGAUUCACUGGGUUUAAAGGGUGCGUAGGCGGACAGGUAAGUCAGUGGUGAAAUCUCUGGGCUUAACUCAGAAACUGCCGUUGAUACUAUUUGUCUUGAAUAUUCUGGAGGUAAGCGGAAUAUGUGAUGUAGCGGUGAAAUGCUUAGAUAUGACAUAGAACACCGAUAGCGAAGGCAGCUUACUACAGAAUGAUUGACGCUGAGGCACGAAAGCGUGGGGAGCAAACAGG
rnacentral:rRNA from 1 species